AAGGCUUUAGCUUAAUUAAAGUGUCUGUUUUGCAUACAGGAGAUGUGGGUUAGUGUCCCGCAAGUCUUA
rnacentral:tRNA from 1 species